rnacentral:rRNA from 1 species
UACAGAGGGGGCAAGCGUUGUUCGGAAUUACUGGGCGUAAAGGGCGCGUAGGCGGCCUGUUAAGUCGAACGUGAAAUCCCUGGGCUCAACCCAGGAACUGCGUCCGAUACUGGCAGGCUUGAAUUCGGGGGAGGGGUGCGGAAUUCCAGGUGUAGCGGUGAAAUGCGUAGAUAUCUGGAGGAACACCGGUGGCGAAGGCGGCAUCCUGGACCGAUAUUGACGCUGAGGCGCGAAAGCCAGGGGAGCAAACGGG